UACGUAGGGGGCAAGCGUUGUCCGGAUUUAUUGGGCGUAAAGAGCGUGUAGGCGGCCAGACAGGUCAGCUGUGAAAACUCGAGGCUCAACCUCGAGACGUCGGUUGAAACCGUCUGGCUAGAGUCCGGAAGAGGAAAGUGGAAUUCCUGGUGUAGCGGUGAAAUGCGCAGAUAUCAGGAAGAACACCCGUGGCGAAGGCGGCUUUCUGGGACGGUACUGACGCUGAGACGCGAAAGCGUGGGGAGCGAACAGG
rnacentral:rRNA from 1 species